rnacentral:misc_RNA from 1 species
GAAAUGCGAUAAGUAGUGUGAAUUGCAGAAUUCAGUGAAUCAUCGAAUCUUUGAACGCACAUUGCGCCCCUUGGUAUUCCAUGGGGCAUGCCUGUUCGAGCGUCAUUUGUACCUUCAAGCUCUGCUUGGUGUUGGGUGUUUUGUCUCGCCUCUGCGUGUAGACUCGCCUUAAAACAAUUGGCAGCCGGCGUAUUGAUUUCGGAGCGCAGUACAUCUCGCGCUUUGCACUCAUAACGACGACGUCCAAAAGUACAUUUUUACACUCUUGACCUCGGAUCAGGUAGGGAUACCCGCUGAACUUAAGC